UACGAAGGGUGCAAGCGUUAAUCGGAAUUACUGGGCGUAAAGGGUGCGUAGGCAGUUGUUUAAGUCUGUCGUGAAAUCCCCGGGCUCAACCUGGGAAUGGCGAUGGAUACUGGGCAGCUAGAGUGUGUCAGAGGAUGGUGGAAUUCCCGGUGUAGCGGUGAAAUGCGUAGAGAUCGGGAGGAACAUCAGUGGCGAAGGCGGCCAUCUGGGACAACACUGACGCUGAAGCACGAAAGCGUGGGGAGCAAACAGG
rnacentral:rRNA from 1 species